GACGAACGCUGGCGGCGUGCCUAAUACAUGCAAGUAGAACGCUGAAGGAGGAGCUUUCUUCUCUGGAUGAGUUGCGAACGGGUGAGUAACGCGUAGGUAACCUGCCUGGUAGCGGGGGAUAACUAUUGGAAACGAUAGCUAAUACCGCAUAAUAGUAGAUGUUGCAUGACAUUUGCUUAAAAGGUGCAAUUGCAUCACUACCAGAUGGACCUGCGUUGUAUUAGCUAGUUGGUGGGGUAACGGCUCACCAAGGCGACGAUACAUAGCCGACCUGAGAGGGUGAUCGGCCACACUGGGACUGAGACACGGCCCAGAAUCCUACGGGAGGCAGCAGUAGGGAAUCUUCGGCAAUGGACGGAAGUCUGACCGAGCAAAGCCGCGUGAGUGAAGAAGGUUUUCGGAUCGUAAAGCUCUGUUGUAAGAGAAGAACGAGUGUGAGAGUGGAAAGUUCACACUGUGACGGUAUCUUACCAGAAAGGGACGGCUAACUACGUG
rnacentral:rRNA from 1 species